AACGUAGGACGCAAGCGUUAUCCGGAAUUACUGGGCGUAAAGCGCGUGUAGGCGGUUGCGUAAGCCAUGGGUGAAAGCCCCCAGCUAAACUGGGGGAGUGCCGAUGGGACUGCGCGGCUGGAGUGCAGAAGAGGGAUGCGGAAUUCCGGGUGUAGUGGUGAAAUGCGUAGAGAUCCGGAGGAACCUCAGAGGCGAAGGCGGCAUCCUGGUCUGCGACUGACGCUGAGACGCGAAAGCAUGGGGAGCGAACGGG
rnacentral:rRNA from 1 species